UACAGAGGUCCCAAGCGUUGUUCGGAUUCACUGGGCGUAAAGAGCUCGUAGGCGGUGUGUCGCGUCGGCCGUGAAAACCUGGGGGCUCAACUCUGGGCGUGCGGUCGAUACGGGCAUCACUAGAGUUCGGCAGGGGACGACUGGAAUCCUGGUGUAGCGGUGAAAUGCGCAGAGUAUCAGGAGGAACACCAACGGCGAAGGCAGCUCGCUGGGACGGUACUGACGCUAAGGCGCGAAAGCGUGGGGAGCGAACAGG
rnacentral:rRNA from 1 species